rnacentral:rRNA from 1 species
GACAGAGGGUGCAAACGUUGCUCGGAAUUACUGGGCGUAAAGCGCGUGUAGGCGGACUGGUAAGUCGGACGUGAAAUCCCUGAGCUCAACUCAGGAACUGCAUCCGAAACUAUUAGUCUGGAGUGGUGGAGAGGGAAGCAGAAUUCCUGGUGUAGAGGUGAAAUUCGUAGAUAUCAGGAGGAACACCGGUGGCGAAGGCGGCUUCCUGGACACUAACUGACGCUGAGUACGGCGAAAAGCGUGGGGAGCAAACAGGG